CACCAGAAAUCCCUCAGAUCAACAAUUGGUAUUGCAGCCCAACCAUCUCAGUAGGUGUUCAUAAACUUCCAUUUAGAAAUAAUCACUUAAUCACCCUAAGUUACUGUCACUUACGAAAAUGAAAAGGAUGUUACUAUCAUCAACGGUAUCAUCAGUAACAUCUACAAGUUUGCUAAUACUACUUCACCUGUGAAAAUCCAUUUGUUUAAUGACAAACACGUGUUUGGAUGACAUGUUGAUUAAGUACAAUGCCCUGAGCAAACUGGCACUUAAAUUGUUUAUACAACUCUCUUACGACUUCUUAAAUUGCAGCACUUGGUAAUAUUUGGACAUAUUUUUAUAUGUUGCUAUACAAAGUGCAGGCAACUUAUUUAUAAGAAAUACGAUUUGCUGCUCACAGAUCAAAUUCUUUGCAGUGAUGAGAUGGAUUUUGGACAUCCACUGCAGCCAGGGUAAUGCCUUCCUCCUGCAAACAAGCACCUCUGAAGGUGUCUGUGUGUGGCAUCUCUCGAUGGUGAGUCCUGGGGUUUUGGCCUGCUAUUGUCAGACCCCACCGCGCUGGACAUGAGUGCAGGAAAUCUGGAGUCCAGAAAUCAAUGAAUAAAUUGCCAUCAUCCAGUGAAUAAAACAGUCGUCCAGUCAUCUGACAAGGAAGAUUUACUUAAAUGAACCAGCUCUGAGUCCAGCAGGGCUACUCACAUGACGACAGAAGAGUGAACAGGGAGAGGCAUUCCCUAAGGCACAGUCAAAAGGGCACAGAGGCAAGGCUGUGGAAUAUGAGGUUUGAUCAGUGUCUGAAAGGGACAUAUCCCCAACUUGCAUGAGAUCAUCGUGAGUGAAACUGUCUUUGAGUGUUGAAAAUCCAGUCCUGCAUUUUCAAGGCCAUGUAAUUGAGGUAUUUUGUGAUAUAAAUAUAAUUCACAGAUUGUGCUUCAAUUUUAUUGUUAAUUCUGCCACUGUAACUGUUGCUAUCUUAGU